CCUACGGGAGGCAGCAGUGAGGAAUAUUGGGCAAUGGGCGAAAGCCUGACCCAGCCACGCCGCGUGUGUGAUGAAGGCCUUCGGGUCGUAAAGCACUGUGGGGAGAGACGAACAUGCGCAGGAGGAAAUGCCUGCGUACUGACGGUACCUCCUUAGCAGGCACCGGCUAACUCUGUGCCAGCAGCCGCGGUAAUACAGAGGGUGCGAACGUUGCUCGGAUUUACUGGGCGUAAAGCGCGUGUAGGCGGACUCGCAAGUCGGUUGUGAAAUCCCUGGGCUUAACCUAGGAACUGCAUCCGAAACUGCUUGUCUUGAGUAAUGGAGAGGGUGGCGGAAUUCCCGGUGUAGAGGUGAAAUUCGUAGAUAUCGGGAGGAACAUCAGUGGCGAAGGCGGCCACCUGGACAUUUACUGACGCUGAGACGCGAAAGCGUGGGGAGCAAACAGGAUUAGAUACCCUGGUAG
rnacentral:rRNA from 1 species